rnacentral:rRNA from 1 species
GAUGAACGCUAGCGGGAGGCCUAACACAUGCAAGCCGAGCGGUAUUGUUUCUUCGGAAAUGAGAGAGCGGCGUACGGGUGCGGAACACGUGUGCAACCUGCCUUUAUCUGGGGGAUAGCCUUUCGAAAGGAAGAUUAAUACUCCAUAAUAUAUUGAACGGCAUCGUUUAAUAUUGAAAGCUCCGGCGGAUAGAGAUGGGCACGCGCAAGAUUAGCUAGUUGGUGAGGUAACGGCUCACCAAGGCAAUGAUCUUUAGGGGGCCUGAGAGGGUGAUCCCCCACACUGGUACUGAGAUACGGACCAGACUCCUACGGGAGGCAGCAGUGAGGAAUAUUGGUCAAUGGGUGCAAGCCUGAACCAGCCAUCCCGCGUGAAGGACGACUGCCCUAUGGGUCGUAAACUUCUUUUGUAUAGGGAUAAACCUUUCCACGUGUGGAAAGCUGAAGGUACUAUACGAAUAAGCACCGGCUAACUCCGUGCCAGCCGCCGCGGUAA